rnacentral:rRNA from 1 species
GACGAGCGCUGGCGGCGUGCUUAACACAUGCAAGUCGAACGGAAAGGCCCUGCUUUUGUGGGGUGCUCGAGUGGCGAACGGGUGAGUAACACGUGAGUAACCUGCCCUUGACUUUGGGAUAACUUCAGGAAACUGGGGCUAAUACCGGAUAGGAGCUCCUGCUGCAUGGUGGGGGUUGGAAAGUUUCGGCGGUUGGGGAUGGACUCGCGGCUUAUCAGCUUGUUGGUGGGGUAGUGGCUUACCAAGGCUUUGACGGGUAGCCGGCCUGGGAGGGUGACCGGCCACAUUGGGACUGAGAUACGGCCCAGACUCCUACGGGAGGCAGCAGUGGGGAAUAUUGCACAAUGGGCGGAAGCCUGAUGCAGCAACGCCGCGUGCGGGAUGACGGCCUUCGGGUUGUAAACCGCUUUCGCCUGUGACGAAGCGUGAGUGACGGUAAUGGGUAAAGAAGCACCGGCUAACUACGUG